rnacentral:rRNA from 1 species
ACGCUGGCGGUAUGCUUACACAUGCAUGUCGAACGCAAAUUUAUUUGAGUGGCGGACGGGUGAGUAACACGUGAGAAUCGCCUUUAGGCGGGGAAUAACUUUCGGAAACGAUAGCUAAUGCCCCAUAUGCUCGCAAGAGUGAAAGGAGUAAUCCACCCAAAGAGAAGCUCGCGGCUGAUUAGCUAGUUGGUAAGGUAAUGGCUUACCAAGGCGACGAUCAGUAGCUGGUUUGAGAGAACGAUCAGCCACACUGGAACUGAGACACGGUCCAGACUCCUACGGGAGGCAGCAGUGGGGAAUUUUCCGCAAUGGGCGAAAGCCUGACGGAGCAAUACCGCGUGAGGGAUGAAGGCCUUUGGGUUGUAAACCUCUUUUAUCAAGGAGGAAGUUCUGACGUGUACUUGAUGAAUAAGCAUCGGCUAACUCCGUGCCAGCAGCCGCGGUAAGACGGAGGAUGCAAGUGUUAUCCGGAAUCACUGGGCGUAAAGCGUCUGUAGGUGGUUUAAAAAGUCUGCUGUUAAAAAUUGAAGCUUAACUUCAAAGAUGCAUUAGAAACUUUUAAACUCGAGUAUGGUAGGGGUAGAGGGAAUUUCCAGUGGAGCGGUGAAAUGCGUAGAUAUUGGAAAGACCACCAAUGGCGAAGGCACUCU